GCUUGUCUCAAAGAUUAAGCCAUGCACGUGUAAGAUCGUCUUGAAUAGCAAUAUUUACCGGCAAUCUGUGGAAAGCUCAUUAUAACAGUUACAAACUUGGCUUUCUAGCUUAAAGUUAAAAGGAUAACACAGUCAAAUGCAGUGAUAAUACUUGAACCAAAGCUAAUGAAUUCAUAGUUAGCGAAUAAUAGCGAGCAAGGGAAAAUACGCUAUAGUAUCUUCGGAUCGAUUGACCUCUUUAGAGGCCUAGGAGAAGUAUUUCUUACUUAUCAUGCUAGUUGUUUCAGUAAGGGUGAAACAAGGCCGUCACGGGUACGGAAAAUUGGGGUUUGACACCGGAGAGGGAGCCUGAGAAAUGGCUACCACAUCUAAGGAAGGCAGCAGG
rnacentral:rRNA from 1 species